rnacentral:rRNA from 1 species
UCCAGACUCCUACGGGAGGCAGCAGUGGGGAAUAUUGGACAAUGGGGGAAACCCUGAUCCAGCGACGCCGCGUGAGUGAAGAAGUAUUUCGGUACGUAAAGCUCUAUCAGCAGGAAAGAAAAUGACGGUACCUGACUAAGAAGCCCCGGCUAACUACGUGCCAGCAGCCGCGGUAAUACGUAGGGGGCGAGCGUUAUCCGGAUUUACUGGGUGUAAAGGGAGCGUAGACGGCUGGUCAAGUCUGAAGUGAAAGCCCGGGGCUUAACCCCGGAACGGCUUUGGAAACUGAGCAGCUAGAGUGCUGGAGAGGUAAGCGGAAUUCCUAGUGUAGCGGUGAAAUGCGUAGAUAUUAGGAGGAACACCAGUGGCGAAGGCGGCUUACUGGACAGUAACUGACGUUGAGGCUCGAAAGCGUGGGGAGCAAACAGGAUUAGAUACCCGCGUA